AGGGCGUUUUAGUAGCACGCUCAAGACCCGAAGCGGAGUGAUCUAGCCAUGGGCAGGUUGAAGCGGAGGUAAGACUUCGUGGAGGACCGAACCCACCAGGGUUGAAAACCUGGGGGAUGACCUGUGGUUAGGGGUGAAAGGCCAAUCAAACUCCGUGAUAGCUGGUUCUCCCCGAAAUGCAUUUAGGUGCAGCGUCGUGUGUUUCUUGCCGGAGGUAGAGCACUGGAUAGGCGAUGGGCCCUACCGGGUUACUGACCUUAGCCAAACUCCGAAUGCCGGUAAGUGAGAGCGCGGCAGUGAGACUGUGGGGGAUAAGCUCCAUGGUCGAGAGGGAAACAGCCCAGAGCAUCGACUAAGGCCCCUAAGCGUACGCUAAGUGGGAAAGGAUGUGGAGUCGCAGAGACAACCAGGAGGUUGGCUUAGAAGCAGCCACCCUUGAAAGAGUGCGUAAUAGCUCACUGGUCUAGUGAUUCCGCGCCGACAAUGUAGCGGGGCUCAAGCGUACCGCCGAAGUCGUGUCAUU
rnacentral:rRNA from 1 species